AGAUGCUCCCCGGCCUGGCUCCGAGUAACUGCGAGCUGGAGGCGCGGCUGCUCUCUCGGGCGGACCUCAGCUCUGCGAACCCUGUGGCUGCCGGAGCACUGAGCGCCCUGCCCGGAGUCCCGCGGAGCCUGGCGAGGAGGGGUCGCUGCAUCCCGAGGGCCAGCCCUGAGCCGGGAGGUGGGGUAACAAUUGAGGGCGUAUGCUUAAAAGCUGCUAGGUCAUGCAUCCCCAAAUCGAAGGUUUGCAGACCUGGUAGGACGCCUGGGGGUCAGAAGUGAUUUUUGGAGUACCCAAGUUUUUAGUGUCAGUGAAGAGUUUGUGGAUAUUUUUGAGUUCUGCUGAGGCAUUUGCAAAGUAUUUUCUUUGGGGAAGAAUUCUUAAGAGUUGGAAGGGCCUUGGCUGUGUCACCUUGUCCAGUUCCCAGAGAACCAAAAAACAAAACAGAACAAAACGAAACAAAACCACCCCUCUAAAUUCUGUGCCCAAGUUGUCCCAUCCAAGCAUGCCUAGGAGUUUUAGAUUUAUGUAGCUGACACCUGUGGACUACCUAUAGUGAGCCAGGCUAAUUGUAAGUCUUUGGACAACCCUGUAAGGAAAAUGAUAUUGCCCUGUUGAGCUGAUGUGGAAAUUGCCCUGUUGAGCAUAUUGCCCUGUUGAGCUGAUGUGGAAACUGAGACCCAGAAAGAUUAAUCAGGUGAAUUCCCCAAAGACAGGAGGCUUGCAGGUGGGCAGAGUCCAAGUCUCAAGUAACUUUAUCAUUAAGUUUCAUCAGGUAGAUCUGGGUAAUAGUGUAGAUGGGGCAACACCAAAAGUCAAAUAGAACAAUUUGGGCUUAUCCCAAAGAGAUUUUUUUUUUUUUGAGAUGGAGUUUCCGUCUUGUUGCGUAGGCUGGAGUGCACUGGCACAAUCUCGGCUCACUGCAACCUCCACCUCCUGGGUUCAAGUGAUUCUCCUGUCUCGGGCUCCCGAGUAGCUGGGAUUACAAGCAUGCGCCACCAGGCCCGGCUAAUUUUUUGUAUUUAGUAGAGAUGGGGUUUCACCUUGUUGGUCAGACUGGUCUCAAACUCCUGAUUUCAGGUGAUCCACCCGCUUCGGCCUCCCAGUGUUGGGAUUACAGGUGUGAGCCACCACACCUGGCCUCUCCAUAUAUUACAAAGUGGUAGUUGGUAGGCUGAGCUGCCUCUCUCAGAGACCUUGACUCUCUCCAAGGCUGUUAGAUAACCUCAGAGGUAAUGGAAAUGCAGUAAUCAGAUAUUGCAGAUAAUACAAGACUCAUUCAUUUCCAGAAGAUGAAACAGCUGUCAUGGAAAUAUUUUUUAAAUCUCAUACUGGUAAGCAUAUUUUGAUAGUGAAACCUUUUGCAAUGCAAGCAAACUACUCUCAGGCUUAUACCUACCACAGAAAAGAGUGGGGUGUGGGAAAUUAGCUUAUCUUUUUCAAACUAUAAUUUUAAAAAUAUAGAAAGAGCAUGUGUCAAAGAUUUACUUAGCUCAUUAAUUAGGGAACCAACAGGGUGCUAAAGAAGAAGUUAAAAGACUAGUUUAAUAUAGUCAAUGUUAAAAAAAGAAUGCUGGAAUAGAUUGCAAAGUUAGAAACAAAACUGGUUAAUAUCCCAUAGAGCAAUAAAACCAUAACCUCGGGAGGAAUGUUUUUCCUAUUGGAGAAAUCAUUUGCAUAUCUACCAGCUGUCAUUUACUAAAGCCCCAUUAUAUCCAGCAUUUGAGAGAAAGGAGAUGGUUAAAGAGACAGACAUUCCUGGUUAAAGAGACAGACAUUUAGAUUCCUAGAUCCUAAAGAGGGUCAUCUUGGGUCCGUAUUUGGUUUACUAAACUGUUAAGAGGUGUCCAGACCAUGCCUUGUAAACAUGGCUGCCAUGGCCCUGUGGGUGGGAGGGCCAGUUGCAGCAAAAGGGAACCAUUGUGAUUUUGGUAGAUUCUCCACCUGAGCUUGAAGAUCAUUGUAUCUGUGCUAAGGAGUUUGGAUUCCGUGCUGAGAGCAAGCAGAGAGCCAUUGAAGAUACAAUUGGCAUGCCCAGCUAUCCAGUUCUCAGUGAAAUCCUGGACUCCAGAUAUAUCUUCAGGGUGUAAUGGUUCUGGAUAAGAGUAGGAAAGGCAGAAACUCAGUCAAGACCUCUCUAAAGCUCUAAUCUUCACCCUGUUAUAUAACCAGCUUCCCCUGGAGCUUAUGAAAAUCUUGGGGAGGGGGUCCUCCAGUCUGGUUAGAUCCUGUCUUAUUGAUUGCAGGGGACUGAUGCUGCCUGGGAGGGCCGUUGAUGUUCUUUGGGUUGAGAGAAUCUCAGACUCUCUUAGCAGGUGCACAGGAAGUGUUGUCUCCGGCUAUAAUGAAUCUUUGGGGUCAGCAUAUCGACUUCACAGUGUUGUGCUCAGUGGUAGUGUGAAUGUUUCUUUUUUAAGAUCAUAGAAUAGAUUAUAUCAGAGUAGAAUGUUACAUGAUGACUCUGUCAGUCAUGAUAAUUUUUAUUUCCAAUAUUUACAUCAUCAGAUACUGUUGUUACAGCAUGUACAGAGUCUGUCACAUUCAGUCUUGAGGAACAAUUCUGAUACACUGUCCCAAUUAACAGUGCAAGCUAGAAACCUGGAAGAGUCUUUGAUUCCCUUACCUCACUGACACCUCACAUCUAUCAUUCAUCAAAUACUAGUGAUUCUGUCUCCUAAAUAUAUUUUUUUAAUUUUCCCCCUCAUCUCACAUCCCUCUGCAUCGUCUUAAUUCAUGCUCUCAUUGAUUUUGAGAUUACUGUUACCUGGAUUCCUGUAGCAGCCACUUCCCAGUUUUGCUAAUUCAGUUACCUCUGCAAUCCAUUCUCUCCCUGCUUCCAGGCUGGUCUCCCUAAAUUUUAAAUCUUACACUCCACACGAUUCUCCCCGAUCUCUCCCCUUGGCUGAAAAUCUCUUAGUGAGUCCCCUUUGCCUGUUAAACAAACCCAAGCUGCUUAGCACUGGCAAAUAAGGCCCACAAGAUUUGCCCUUGCCUACCUUCUCAGGCACCUCUUUCCAGCCCCACAUGUUAACUUCCCAUUUCAGGUGAACUUGGGAUGCUCAGUUUCUCUGAGUUUCCAGGUUCUCUCAUUCCAGGCAUUGGCAUAUCCAGGAAUCUCCUCUGACCCACCCACUGGUUAGUCCUGUCCUGAGUUCCUACAGUCUCCUGGGCGUUUCUUUCUUCUGGCCCCUAUGUCACUGUGUUUUAUAUCUGAUUAGUAAUCUAUUUUAUUACAAGGGGCAUAUCCUGGGAAGAAUUCUACCCUGUAUUCAACCCCUUUCUCAUUUCUGGACACACUGCUUGACAGAAAAUACUGUACUCUGUGAAGGUUUGUUGGAUGAUGGAUGAGCUGUUGAAAGUUUCCUUCUAGAGCGUGCUUUUCCACAUUUGAUAAUAAGUUGUGAGUCAGUUGCUACCUUUUCAUUAAGUUGUCAGAAGGUGUUAACAUGAGUGUUUUUGUGGUUUGAAAUGUUGCUUUUUCAGUGAGUGGUAGCUAAAGGCAGAGGACUUUGACUGUUGCCAAGUUCCUGUGCCGAAAUGAACUGGGGAGAGUGGUACGAAGGCAACUGUGGUGUUACUUAACUCUAUAAAUUUCUGGGUGAAAAAUCUAUUAUAGCUUUUUCCAUUAGUCAUUAAAAUGAUUAGUCCACGUUCAACGUUCUGUAUCAUAAUUGUUUCCUGCUUUAGCUGGAUGACAUUGCUUGAGAUAAAUUAAACCUGUGGCAUUAUUAUGUCUCCUUUACAAAAUUAAUCCUCUUUUCUUCUUCCUAGCUAGGCUUUGUAUUGCCUUCCUACACAAUCUUAUAUGUCAGAGAUAUUAAAAAUAGUAUGCUGGAAUAUUACCUGCUUUGGGGUGUUUUUCUUAUUUCCCAUCGUUAUAAUUUAGAGAAGAAAGUCAUUUCAAAAGUAAACAUUUGGCUCAUGUUAUCACCUCUGUCUAAGUGCUUUACACCUGCGUGAUUUGUUCAUUCAUCCAAGGCUCUUUUAUCCACUCUUUCUGUAUGUUGCACAAGCAUUAACCUGACCUUGUAUUUGAGGAUACUUUUCAACUAUCCUUCUGUAGCAAAAAAAAAAAAAAAAAAUUAUUUUUGGAGGACUCUCCCUCUGAAAAUGAUUGGAACUGAUAGAUACACUGUGUAAGAAAUGGCUGCUUUUCUGAAGUCAUUCCAUUUUUUCUUGUUUACACCACAGCUUAAAUUAAUUUACCUGUCCUAAUGAAUACAUAAGAACAAGAACAAUACCUACAAUUUAGUUAACCACAGAGAGCCACAAAGACAAUUAUAUGUAUUCAACACAAUGUCAUAUAAUUUACAUGCAUUUAAGGGCUGAGAAGAAUGUUCAAGAAUGGCAUCCGUGGUUCGUAGGCAGGUGGUAUCCUUAUUGACUCAGCAAAGGUGCUCCUGCCUUCUCUGUUCUGCACAAGAAAGAAGUAAAUUUAAAAUUCCAUCCAUAAAUCAGCAGCUUGACUUUAAAUAAGAUUAGAAAAACAUAGUCAAUCCUUAUUUUUCGUAGUUUGUGUAUUUGAGAGUUUGCCUACUUGCUAAAAUUUAUUUGUAAACUUUAUUUUUAUUUAUUUAUUUAUUUAUUUAUUUUUUUGAGAUGGAGUCUUGCUCUCUCUCCCAGGCUGGAGUGCGGUGGCAUGAUCUCAGCUCACUGUAGCCUCCACCUCCUGGGUUCAAGUGAUUCUCUAGCUUCAGGGUUCAAGUGAUUCUCUAGCCUCAGCCUCCAGAGUAGUUGACACUACAGGCAUGCACCACCAUGCCUGUCUAAUUUUUUUGCAUUUUUAGUAAAGACAGGGUUUCACCAUGUUGGCCAGGCUGGUCUUGAAUUCCUGACGUCAGGUGAUCCACCUGCCUUGGCCUCCCAAAGUGCUGAAAUUACAGGUGUGAGCCACUGCACCCGGCCUAUUUGUAAACUUUAAAUCAAUACUCAUGGGGCAUUUGCAACAUGUCUGGAGUGUUGGAAAAUUUGAUUUGCCCGAAGCACAUAUUCACAGCUGAGGUCAAACAAGGUGACCUUCUGCCUUCUUAUUUCAACUGUCAUACUGUAAAUAAAUGUCCUUAUGGGGUUUACUUAAUGCUACAUAUUUUCAUAUUUUUGUGCUUUUUUUGGUGAUUUGCUGUUUAAAAUGGCCUGCAAGCAUAAUGCUGAAUUGCUAUCUAGUGUAAAAGCAAUAAGGCUGUGAUGUGCCUCAUGGAGAAAAUGUGAGCUAGACUUCCUUCAGGCCUGAGUUUAUAAUGCUGUUAGCAAAUUCAGUAUUAUUGAAUCAACUAUAUACAUAUAUAUGUACUUUAAAUGAUGUGUCUUUCCAUAGAAACACAUCGGAUAAGCUUAUGAUGAAAAUGUAACCAGAGACUCAAAGGAACCUAAUCCUGGAUUACCUCUAGAAACAAUGGUUCACUAUUGACUUAUUCAGUGUUUGCUAUGACUUUAGAAAAUCUAAUUAUCAUGAAUAAUGAGAAUUAACUGUAUAUGCAGCUGUCUUAGGUUAGAGUCUCCCAGAAGCAGACCCCAAGAGAGGAGUUUAUUUGGGGAAUGAUUCCAGGAAACCUUGGUGUAGGAGUAGAGAAUUAAAAGAGACAAGGAAAGGCAGGCAAUAAAGGGUAAAAUCAUUAAGCAAGUUACCUCUGUGGACAACUGACACUCAAUUCUACUAUAGUAGCCUGGGUGCCAGUGAAGAGCAUGUGCCUCAGGUGUCCUUCCUGAAGGGAGAGAAAGGUAAGAUAUUUCUAAGUAUUUGGGGAUUUUUUUUUUUUUUUUUUUUUUUAAUGAGACAGAAUCUCACACUGGCCCCAGGCUGGAGUGCAGUGGUGCGAUCUCAGCUCACCACAGCCUCCUCCUCCUGGGUUCAAGGCAUUCUCCUACCUCAGCCUCCCAAGUAGCUGGGACUACAGGCGCCCACCACCAUGCCUAGCUAAUUUUUUGUAUUUUUAGUAGAGACAGGGUUUCACUGUGUUAGCCAGGCUGGUCUCAAACUCCUAAUCUCAUGAUCCUCCCACCUUGGCCUCCCAAAGUGCUGGGAUUACAGGCAUGAGCCACUGUGUCCCGCUGUAUUUGGGGAUUUUUCGUGAUCUUUCUCUUAUCUCUAGUUUAAUUCCACUGUACUCCAAGAACAUUCUUUGUAUGAAUUCAAUUCUUUUACAUUUGUUAGUUUUAUAUCCAGUAGUAUGUGGCCUAUCGCGGUGAACAUUCCAUGUGUUGUCAAAAGAAUAUGCAUCCUAUCAUUCAUUGUCACUUACUGACUUUGUGUCUCCUUGUUCCAUAAAUUACUGAGAGAGGAAUGUUGAUGUCGCCAUAUGUAAUUGUAAAUGUGACUAUUUCUCUAUUCAGUUCAAUCAGUUUUUGCUUCAUGCAUUUUGGAGUUCUGUUGUUAGGUGGAUACAAACUGAUGACUGUAUGUCUUCUUGAUGAAUUGACCUUUAUUAUUUUGUACUGUCCCUUUUUAUCCCUGGUAAGUAAUUUUCCUUUAUAUGAAGUCUAUUUUUUAUAUUAAUGUAGACAACACAGCUUUCUUUUGAUUAGUGUUUGCAUGGUUUAUCUGUUUUUAUUCUUUGACUUUUAAUAUAUGUGUAUCAUUAUAUUUAAAGUGGGUUUCUUGUAGACAACAUAUAGUUGUUUGUUUUUUUAAAAAUCCAAUCUGACAAUCUUUGUUUUUUAAAUGAUAUAUUUAGACCAUUUACAUUUGAUGUGAUUAUUGAUAUAAUUAGAUGUAGACCUCCUAUUUUGUUAUUUUUCUGUUUGUUUUUGCUUUUCUCUUCUCCCUCCUUACCAUCUUCGAAUUAUUUUUAGUAUUCCAUUUUAACUUAUCCAUUAGGAUGAUUUGUUUGUUUGUUUGUUUGUUUUGUUUUGGCUUUAUGUCUGUAUUAGUCCAUUCUCACACUGCUAUAAAGAACUACCUGAACUGUAAUCCCAGCACUGUGGGAGGCUGAGGCAGGUGGAUCGCUUGAGCUCAGGAGUUUGAGACCAGCCUGGGCAAUGUGGUGAAAUCCCAUCUCUACAAAAAAUACAAAAAAAUUAGCUAGACUUGGUGGCACAUGCCUGUACUCCCAGCUACUCAGGAUACUGAGGUGGAGGAUUGCUUGGGCCCAGAAGGCAGAGGUUGAGCUGAGAUUGUGGCACUGCAUUCCAGCCUGGGAGACAGAGCAAGACUCUGUAAAACAAAACAAAACAAAACAACAACAAAAACCCCAAACCAACAAUCUACCUGGGACUGGGGAAUUUAUAAAGAAAAGAGGUUUACUUGACUCAUGGUUCUGCAGGUUGUAGAGGAAACAUGGCUGGGUAGGCCUCGGGAAACUUACAGUUAUGGCAGAAGGUUAAGGAGAAGUUGGCACAUCUUCACAUGGCAGAACAGGAGAGAGAGAAUGAAGGGGGAAGCACUACACACUUUUAAACAACCAGAUCUCAUAAGAACUAAUUCACUAUCACAAGAACAGCAAGGUAAACAUCUGCCCCCGUGAUCCAAUCACCUGCCACUAGGCCCCAUCUUCAACACAUGGGUAUUACAGUUCAACAUGAGAUUUGGGUGGGGACACAGAGCCAAACCAUAUCAAUCUCUUUAUAUAUUUUUCCAGUGGUUGUUCCAAAGAAUAUAUGUAUAUAAUAUUAUGAUAGUAUAUAUAUACACACAUAUACAUGUAUAUGUGUGUAUAUAUAUACACAUACUGUUAGUUUAUCUGGAUUUAAUAUUUAACAACUUCAAGUAAAAUGUUGAAGACUGGCAACCAUACAGGUUUCUUUACUCUCUCUCUUUAUGUUAUAGUUGUCGUCUGUAUUACAUUUGGAUACAUUGACACCCUCCCAAACAGUGUUACAAUUUUUGCAUUCAAACUUCAUACAUAGUUUCAAUAACUUAAAAACGAAAAGUAUUAUAUAACUAGGUAUUUAUCAUUUCUACGGUUUUUUAUUCAUUCCUGAAGUUUCAAGUUUUCUUCUAGGAACAUUUUUCUUCCACAUUAGCUUCCUUUAGGAAUUUUUCUUAGAUAUAUUGGCAAUGAAUUCUCUUUGUUUUUCUUCAUGUGAGAAUAUCCUUAUUUUACAUUCAUUCCUGAAGGAUAUUUCCACUGCAUAUAGAAUUCUGAGUUGACAUUUUUUUUUUCUUUCAGCACUUUAAGGAUUUUGCUCCCCUGCCUUUAUGGUUUCUGAUGAGGAAUCAUUAGCAUUCACUAGUAUCUGCAGUAUUUGAGUUGUUGCUCUCCUAUGCAAAAUAUAUCGUUUUGCUAUGGCUGCUUUCUAGAUAUUUAUCUUUGGUUUUUGGCAGUUUAAUUUUGAUGUGUGUUAGCAUGGUUUUCUUUGAGUUUAUUUUGUUUGGUUUUUCUAGACUUCUUGAAUCUAUGAAUUUAUGUCUUUUGCGAUAUUUGAGGAAUUUUUGUUCAUUGUUUUGUCAAAUAUUUUGUCUGUCCUGAUAUCUUUCAUCUCUUGUUCAGGGACUCCAGUGAUAUUGAGAUUGUCCCACAGGUUCCGUGGCUAUUUACCUACUUUUAAUCCUUUUUCUCUUUGUUUUACAGGUAGGUAAUUUUUACUGAUCUAUCUUUAAAUUCACUGACAUUAUUCUCUCUCAAUUCUGCUAUUGAACCCACUUAGUGCAUUUUUAAAUUUCAGGUAUUCUAUUUUUCAAUUCUCAAAUUUCUAUUUGGCUUUUUAAAAUAGUUUCUCUUUCUCUGCUGACUACUCAUGUCUUUCUUUUAAAUUUGGAAGUGCUUACAUUCACCUCAUAGAGGAAGGUCAUAAUGACUGGUUUAAAUUAUUGACCCCAUGCAUUUGGUCUCUUGCACUUGACCCCUUGGUUUUUUAUGCCCCCAGUGCACCUGCUUUGGGACUCCACUUGUCCAUUGGACUUCCUCACCCUCACUGCUGUGGCCUGCAAUUGACAAUAUCAUGUCAAAGUCAUGUCUUGAGUUUCCAGCUAGGCUAGGAUCCUUGCUGAUUCCUCUCCCCCAACAGUAUCUUUGAUCAUGCUAGGCAAGCUGAAUUAAAUUGUAGUAAGUGCAUUCAUUGAUAGAAAAAUUGCAGAAAAAUUGCGGGUUCAAUCCAGCCAAUGUAACACUUUAUUAUCAUAAUACAAUGUGAUUAUUCUCUUGAAUCAACUGUUUUCAUUCUAAAGCAUCUGUGGAAUUUCAUGGAGCAGAAAUGUAGUGCACAUUUCAUACCUCCAAAUGUUUUAAGCCAAAUUAUAAUUGCAGACAGCCCUUAUAAAUCUAAUUACAUGCCUUACAGUGACUCCACAGGUACACAGGCCAGAUGGAAUUAAUAUAUUACUGCUGCUAUUAAUCACGUGAGAUUAAGACAAAUAAUAUAACAUGAUUAUAUAAAAUGAUCUGCCAUUUAUCUGCUGUGAUCACCUACUUCAUUAAGGUAUUGGCAGCAUUUAGCAAGGCUGGUGUUGCAGUCUGUUUUUUUGCUAUAAAAGAAUACAUGUAGCUGGUAGUUUAUAAAGAAAAGAGGUUUAUUUGGCUUAUCGUUCUGCAGGCUAUACAAGAAGAAGCAUGGCACCAGCAUCUGCUUCUGGUGAGCAGCUCAGGCUGCUUCCAUUCCUGGUGGAAGGGAAAGGGGAGCUGACUUGUGCAGAGAUCACUUCCAAGAGGGAAAUCAAGAGAGAGAGGUAGGAGGUGCCAGGCUCUUUUUAACGUCCAGUUAUCUUGGGAGCUAAUAGAGUAAGAACUCACUGAUACCUACUACCCCCAUCCUCCAUCUCUUCGUGAAGAGUCUGCCCCCAUGAUCCAUACACCUCCCAUUAGGCCCCCCCUUUAACACUGAGGAUCACAUUUCAACCUGAGAUUUGGAGGGGCCAAACAAACCAUAUCCAAACUAUAGAAGUGGCAAAUUGACAACAUCUACUUAUUCGUUCAAAAGAAAUAGGGUGAAAACAUGAGAUGAUCCAUGGAUGUUUCAGCUUUUCUGUGACUGACCCUGCAUACUGAAAAGCAAUAAAUUCCUUGCUAACUUAAAUAAAGUAAUGGCAGAUAUGCCUAAGGCCACAAAUCUAUUUAAUGUAGUUGGAGUUAAUUUGAUUAAUUGUGGAUUUCUAGGCAGUAAUCUCUUAAACUUUGUACUCAGCUUUAUUAACUUUCAGAAGCUAAGAUGAACUUUUCUGUUGCUGUCAUACUUUCAGAAACUCAUAUUGAGUACCAAUUGCUGAUCUCAAACCCAUUUUAAAAUAUUCCAUUGCAUUCUGGGUAAUUUCAUUUCUUGUCAUUAAUUUCACAUUGAAAUUUUUGGCUGUUGAUUGCUGUGAUAAAACCUUUCCCCAUGAAACCUUCCUAGAAAAAUUUUUACUUUAUUUCAUAAGUUAUCAAUGCUCAGAAUUGAAAUUCAUUCUUUUAUGUCUCCAAGAGGUGCUUAUUGAGUGGUUACUAUGUGCUAGGCCUGUCUUGGGCACUAAGGAGAUGGGGGUGAACGAGAUACAUAAAUGCUUUGCUUCUGUGGAGUUCACAUUCCAGUGGAGGAAGGCAAAAGUAAUAGGUGGACAAAUGCAUAAAAUAAUUUCAGGUAUUAAAUAUUAUAUAGAAAAUGGCCAGCUCAUUUAAAACCUUAUGGGUGUGUUCAGAGUUUAGAUUUCAUUCUAAGAACAAAGAAGUUACUGGGAAUUUAAAGUGGAAAGUGUGAGCAGAUUCACUAUACACUGGUUAUCAACUUAUCACCCACCCGCACAUCAGGUUACAUGAAGUGGGUUUAUUACUCACAGAAACGUAGCCAGGAACAACGGAAGCCUAAGGUCCAUUGUAAGCUGGUCCCUCAAGGCUCAGGAAAGCUGCCCUGGGCAGAUGGAGUCUUGUCUGUACAUCCUCUUGCACUGCAGGUGAGGGAUCCCAGAAAGCAACCCACUCUAUGUUUUACACUCCGGGGUCCUGGGGGGUCCCCUGGGCCAAAGCACCGAAGGACAUCCUGUUUCUGGAGGGAAAUGGAAUAAAGCCCAGGCUGUUGUGACCAGCCUCUGCCUAUCUCAGGACACUGCAUUCCCAGCACAUUUUAUACUUAUUCUUGAAAACUACAAAUGAGAAAGGGAGAAGAACUGGGUUGAUUCAAGGUCACCUGGAUAACUGUCUGCAGAAAGAUGUCUUUAAAAGUCCAAAAUGGCUGCAAUAUUGUAAAAUGGAUUAAGGCAAGAAAGAGUAAUUAAAGGUGAUAAAUGUUCAGGUAGAAGGUGAACUUGAAUCAAGGUGGGAGGAGUGAAGAUGAAGAGAAAGAAGGGUUCUCUGUAAACUGUAGAAUAUGCUUUUAGAUCACUAGAAAUACUGCCUACACACAAUGAUAUAUACUUUCUUUUUCUUACUAUAAAUAUAACUAUUAUUUGUUUCAUAUAUUUUUGUGUUGGCUACAAUUUCCAAAAUAUAAAUUAGUAAUGGUUAUAGAGGAUAUCCUCUAGGGUUUUAAAUGUGAUGUUGGUUUUUGGUUUGGGAGAGAGAGCCUUUUCAUAUUAAUGCAUUGUUACUCUGGUUCUAAUUUUUGAUCAGUUUUCAACAGGAAUGGAUGAUGGAUUUUAUUGAAUACUUUCUUGGUGUUAAUGAAAAAAUUCUAUUUUUUACUGAUGGCUUGCAUAAAACUAAUAUAUUUCUCAAUAUUAAACCAUUCUAUUCCUGUUUCUAUAAAUUUGACUUUUUUAGGUAUCUUAUAUAAGUAGAAUCAUACAGCAUUUGUCUUUUUGUGACUGGCUUAUUUCACUUAGCAUGUCUUCAAGGUUCAUUUAUAUCAUAGUAUGUGUCGGAAUUUCAAUCCUUCUUAAGGCUAGGUAAUGUUUGGUUAUAUAUACAUAUAUAUAUAUAUAUGUAAAUAUAUACACACCACAUUUUGUUUAUCUGUUCAUCUGCUGAUGGACACUUGGGUUGCUUCCACAUUUUGACUAGUGUGAAAAAUGCUGCUAUGAAUGUAGGUGUACAACUCUGACUCCUAGUUUUCAAUUUUGGGAGGUAUAUACUCAAAAGUGGAGUUGCUGAAUUAUAUGGUAACUCUAUUUUUAAUUUUUUGAAGACCUGCCAUAAUAUUUUCCUUAGUUGCUACACCAUUCCUACCAACAGUGCACAAAAGGUCUAAUUUCUCCACAAACUUGCCAAUCGUUAUUUUUAUUUAUUUAUUUAUUUGAGAUGGAGUCUCGCUCUGUCACCCAGGCUGGAGUGCAGUGGCAUGAUCUCAGCUCACUGCAAUCUCCGCCUCCCUAGUUCAAGCGAUUCUCCUGCCUCAGCCUCCCAAGUAGCUGGGACUACAGGCGUGUGCUACCACGCCCGGCUAAUUUUUUGUAUUUUUAGUAGACAUUGGGUUUUCCCAUGUUAGCCAGGAUGGUCUCGAUCUCCUGACCUCGUGAUUCGCCCAUCUUGGCCUCCCAGAGUACUGGGAUUACAGGCCUGAGUCACUGUGCCCGGCAAUCCAAUACUUUUUUUUUUAAUUAUUUUUUAUUUUUCUGGGUGCAUAGUAGGUGUAUAUAUUUAUGGGGUAUAUGAGACAUUUUGAUACAGGCAUGCAAAGUGAAAUAAUCACAUCAUGGGGAAUGGGGUAUUCAGCCCUUCAAGCAUUUACCCUUUAUGCUAUAAACAAUCCAGUUAUACCCCUAGUUAUUUUAAAAUGUACAGUUAAGUGAUUGUUGACUAUAGUCACUCUGUUGUGCUGUCAAUAGUAGGUCUUAUUCAUUCUUUCUAACUACUUUUUUUUUGUACCCAGUAACCAUCCCCACCUCCCUGUCAGCCCCCUACUACCCUUCCCAGCCUCUGGUAACCAUCCUUCUACUCUCUAUAUCUAUGAGUUCAGUUGUUUUGAUUUUUAGCUCCCACAAAUAAGUGAGAACAUGCGGUGUUUGUCUUUCUGUGCAUGGCUUAUUUUACCUAACAUAAUGAUCUCCAUUUUAUUAAAAAUGAGCUCACUGUAGAUGAGUGGAUUUGUUUCUGGGGUCUCUAUUCUGUUCCAUUGGUCUGUGUCUCUGUUUUUGUGUCAGUACUGUGCUGUUUUGGUUACUAUAGCUCUGUAGUAUAAUUUAAGGUCAGGUAAUGUGAUUCCUCCAGUUUUGUUCUUUUUUCUCAGCAUAGCUUUGGCUAUUCUUUUUUCUCAGGAUAACUUUGGCUUUUGUGGUUCCAUAUACAUUUUAGGAUUGUUUUUUCUAUUUCUGUAAAGAAUGUUAUUGGUAUUUUGAUAGGCAUUACAUGGGAUCCGUAGAUGGCUUUGGUAGUAUGGACAUUUUAACAAUAUUGAUUCUUCCAGUCCAUGAACAUGGAAUAUCUUGUCAUUUUUUGGUGCCUUUUUCAGUUUCUUUCAUCAGUGUUUUAUGAUUUUUAUUGUAGAGAUCUUUUACUUCUUUUGUUAAUUCCUAGGUAUUUGCUUUUAUUUGUGGCUAUUGUAAAUGGCAUUACUUUUAAAAUUUUCACUUUGUUCAUAGUGGGGAUAUAGAUAUGGUACUGAUUUUUGUAUGUCGAUUUUAUAUCCUGCAACUUUGUUGAAUUUGUUUAUCAGUUCUAAUAGUUUUUUUGUGUGUGUAGUCUUUAGGAUUUUCCAAAUGCAAAAUCAUAUCACCUGCAAACAUGGAUAAUUUGACUUCUUCCAUUCCAGUUUGCACGCCUCUUCUUUCUCUUGUCUGAUUGGUCUAACUAGGACUUCCAGUACUAUGUCGAAUAACAGUGAUGAAAGUGGGCAUCCUUGUCAUGUUCCAGAUCUUAGAGGAAAGGCUUUUAUUUUUUCUCUCAUUCAGAAUGACACUAGCCAUGUGUGUGACAUAUGUGACUUUUAUUAUGUUGAGGUAUGUUCCUUCUAUACCCAGUUUUUGGAGGUUUUUUUUUUUAUCACGAAGGGAUAUUGAAUUUUAUCAAAUAUUUUUUCAGCAUCAAUUGGAGUGAUUAUUGUUUUUAUCUUUCACUCUGUUGAUAUGAUGUAUCACAUUGAUUUGCAUAUGUUGGACCAUUUUUGCAUCCCAGGGAUAAAUCUUACUUGGUCAUGGUGAAUGAUAUUUCUAAUGUAUUGUUGAAUUUCGUUUGUAGUAUUUUUUUUGAGAAUUUUUGCAUCAAUACUAAUCAGAGCUAUUGGCCUGUAGUUUUCUUUUUUCUGAUGUGUCUUUGUCUGGUUUUGGUAUCAGGGCAAUACUGGCUUCAAAGAAUGAGUUUGGAAGUAUUCCCUGCUCCUCUAUUUUUGGAAGAGUUUGAGUAAGAUUGGUCUUAGUUCUUUAAAUAUUUGGUAGAAUUCAGCAGUGAAGCCAUGGGUUCCAGGCUUUUCUUGACUGGAAGACUUUUUAUUAUGGCUUCAAUCUUGUUACUUAUUAUUGGUCUGUUCAUGUUUUAUACUUCUUCCUGGUUCAAUCUUGGUAGGUUGCAUGUGUCUAGGAGUUUGUCCAUUUCUUCUAGGCUUUCCAAUUUACUGGCAUACAGUUGCUCACAGUAGCUACUAAUGAUCCUUUGAAUUUCUGCAGUAUCAUUUGUAUUAUCUCCUUUUUCAUUUCUGAUUUUAUUAAUUUGCAUCUUCUCUCUUUUUUCUUACUCUGGCUAAAGGUUUGUCAAUUUUGUUUAACUUUUUAAAAACCCAACUUUUUGUUUCAUUGCUCUUUUGUACUGUUUUCUUUAUUUCUACUCUGAUCUUUAUUACUUCUUUUCUACUAAUUUUGGAUUUGGUUUGCUCUUGAUUUUCUAAUUCUUCAAGAUGUAUCAUUAGAUUAUUUGAAGUUUUUCCUCUUUUUUGAUGUAGACACUUAUGUCCAUAUACUGCCCUCUUAAUACUGCUCUCGCUGUAUCCAGUAGGUUUUGGUAUGUUGUGUUUCCAUUAUCAUUCAGGAGCAUAUUGUUGCAUUUCCAUGUUUUUGUAUGGUUUCCAAAAUUCCUCUUGUUAUUAAUUUCCAGUUUUUUCAUUCAUGGUCAGAUAAGAUGCUUGAUAUGAUUUCAAUUUUUUGAAUGUUUUAAAACUUGUUUUGUGACCUAACAUAUGGUCUAUCCUUGAAAAUGAUCUAUGUGCUGAGAAAAAGAAUGUAUAUUCUGCAGCUGUUUGAUAAAAUGUUUUGUAAAUAUCUAUUAGAUCCAUUUGGUCUAUAGUGCAGAUGAAGUUUGAUGUUUUUCUUUUUCUUUUCUUUCUUCCUUUUUUUUUUUUUUUUUAAGAUGGCGUUUCACUCUUGUUGCCCAGGCUGGAGUGCAAUGGCAUGAUCUUGGCUCAUUGCAACCUCCGCCUCAUGGGUUCAAGCGAUUCUCCUGCCUCAGCCUCCCAAGUAGCUGAGAUUACAGGUGCCCACCACCAUGCUAGAGAAAUAGUUGAAAACUGUAUGGUAGUAAAAGACAUUAACUUAUGUAUUGCAGUCUAUGUCAGAUCGUGUAGAUUAGACAAAAAAUUAGUUCCUUUGCAGACCUCUCCCUAAAGCCAUCACAAUGCCAACUCCCCAGAGCCAACCAUUUUCAACACUUUCAGUUAUUUUUAAAUGAUAAAAAUUCAAAUGCAGUGAUUCUAGAAGUAUGGUCCAGUGGUUUCUGGAAGUCUCCAAAAUCUUUUAGUUAGGAUUCCUUAAAGGGAGAUCAAAGUUGAGGUAAAAACUAGAUACUGUUUAGACCAUUUACAUUUAAUGUAAUUAUAUGUUUGAAUUUAGGUCUUCCAUUUUAUUAUUUGUGUUUUCUUCCUGUCUGUCUUCUCUUUCCUGCCUUUUGUAUUAUUUGAACUUUCUUUUUUUUUUUUUUUUUUUUUAGCAUUCCAUCUGAAUUUAUUUUGAUUUUAACCAUAUCUUUUCAUAUAAAAUUUUAGUGGUUGCUCUAGGGAUUUAAAAAAAUACAAACUUAACACUUUAAUGGCAAUUUAUAAUCAGCAUUUUACCACUUUAAUUGGAAUGUGUAAAACUUACCAGUAGGUUUCCUUUCUCGUUUAUGUAUUACAUCUGCACACAUUGAAAACUCCAUCAGACAAUGUUAUACCCUGUGCUUUCAAACAUCAGAUAUGUUUUAAAGUACUCAAAAAGAGAAGAACAGUCUAUUAUAUUUACCCAGAUACUUGCCAUUUCUGUUGUUCCCUUUUAUUACUGAAGUUCUGAGAUUUCUUCUUGGAUCAUUUCCUUUCAGCCUGAAGAACUUGUUUAGCAAAUCUCUUAAGUAGGUACACUGGUCAGAAUUCUCUUAGUUUUCCUUCAUCUAAGAAUGUAUUUAUUUCACAGAAUUCUCAGUUUAUAGUUCCUUCCCUCCUUCCUUCCUUCCUUCUCUCCUUUAAAAUGUUGUUCUACUUCCUUCUGGUCUCCGCAGUUUCUGAUGAAAAAUCUAUAGUUAUUCAAAUUGAAAAUCCUCUAUUGACAAUGCACUGUUUUUCUGUGGCUGCUUUAAAACUUUUUUCAUUCUUUUUAUUUUUCAACAAUUUCAUUGUGAUGCAUCUAUGCAUAAUUUUAUUUGUAUUUAUCCUUUUAAAAGUUCACUCAGCUUUUUAAAUCUGUAGGUUAUAUCCUUUGCCAAACUUGGGAAGUCUUCGGCCAUUGUUUUUUCAGACUUUUUUUCAGCACUGCACUCUUUCUCUUGUCCUCUAAAACUCCAGAGACACAAACAUUAGAACUUUUAUUAUUGUCUUAUAUGUACCUGAAGCUCUACUAGAUUUUUUUCAACCUUUUUUCCCUCUUUUUUUGAUGUAUCUUCAAGUUCACUGUUUCCUCUGUCACAUCCUUUGUGGUACUGAACCCAGCUAAUGUGUUUGUUUUUUUUUAAUAUUGGUUAUUGUGCUUUCAACUCUAAAAUUUCUGAUUUUUGUCCUGUAUAUCUUCUAUUUCUUUAAUGAUACCUUGUAUUUUUGCUUUUUCUUCAAGAGUGUUCAAGAUUGCUCAUACAAGCAUUUUAAAAGCUUUGUCAGAUACUUCCAACAUUGGUGUCAUCAUGGCACUGGCAUCUGUUGAUUGACUUUUCCCAUACAUGUUGAGGUUUUCAUGGUUCUUUAUAUGCUGAAUACUAUUUGAGUGUACCCUGAACAUUUUGAUUAUUAUAUAUAAGACUUCAGGUCUUGUUUAAAUCCUAUGGAAGAUGUUGACAUUUUUGUUUUGGCGGGCACUUGACCUGGUUAAGUUCAGGCCUCACAUUUCAACCCACCUUCUCUGAGCUGCAAUUCCAAUGUUAGUUCAAUUUUCAAAGCCUUUCAAUGCUACUCAGAUCAUUCCCAAUUGGGUGCCCCCCGUGAGUGCUCCUUACCUAAAAGGUCAGACUGGAACCUGGGGAGACCUGUCUCUUAAGCUCAGUCCUCAAGGUCUUUUGAAUGCCAAUUAGGAUCAGAUUUAGACAUGCUCAGGCCAGGGGUUAGCCAGGAGUUCAUAAACCUCUUUAUGGAGUUCCUUUCCCAGACACUCUUAUUUUAUUUAUUUAUUUAUUUAUUUAUUUAUUUUUACUUCUCUGGGGAUAAUGCUGUAUGCUUUCCCAAACUCUUCUCUCUCUGCUCUCUCCUUAGCACCUCUGGUUCCCUGAGGCUUUAUUUUAUGGUUGUCCAGCCAGUAACUACCCACUUCUGUGACUGCCUUACAGCAGUGCUGGGAGAGAGAGGGUGAGAGAGAGAGAGAGGAAGACAGAGAGGCAACAGUGUUUGUGGCACCUUCUUGGAGCUGCGGUUCUUCUGAACUGAGAGCAAGGUUUCUCUCCCUCAGAGCUGUAGCUCCUGCAGAUUCCUGUUGCUGGCCUCUUUUGCUGCUGCACCGAGCCUGCUGUGGGCUUGCCUGAGGGUUGGGGCACCAGAGAGUGGAGAAGAAGGAGAGAAAAAAAAUACUGAGGGAUUUCCCACACACUCUCUUUCCCUUAAAAGACUAGAGCUACUACCAUGCCAUAAUUAGCUAAAACUUCCACUUUCUGGAAGAACUGUCAUUUUCUUACAGCUAUUCACUUUCUUUCAACGUUCGUCACCAACAUAAACACUAGACUCUCUUUGGGUGCUGUUUUCAUUAAAGAAGUGAAACUUUUAUCACUUCAUGAUGGUCGCUGAGUAUGCUAAGGGAAGCAGAGAAAAACAGGGCUGCGUCUCCCUGUGGAGACUGGAGGUGGGCAGGCCCAUCGAUUGGCCAAGCGGCUCAGCGUAGCAUCUGCUACUAAAAUCGGGCCCCAGAAAAGUUACCCAUUGUGCCAUAAUCAUGUAGGCCUCUGGAAAUCCUUGAGGAAACUCCAAAUAGUGAAUGUUAAAUUAAAAAAUGACAAAGUUCCAUUUGAUUGUUAUCAUUCUUGAGAGGUAAUUUCACUAUGAUCUGUCAGGAAACAUCUGUAAGAGAUUCAGCCAUAAUGUGUUAAGGAGAAGGUUAGAAAAUCUAGGGAAAAGCUCCUAUCAUUUUAUAGUUUCUUUGGGGAUUGAAAUAUAUCUACUGAAGCAGGCUUCAAACUAGUGUGUCUAGAAAUGGGAUAUCUUCACCUGGGAUGGGGUAGUUGCCCUUGAGCCACAUGACCCAGGCAUAAUUACAGAUUUUCAGGAGUGGAAGAGACUUGAGAUGCUAUCUGACCAAACCUUCUGUUUUUACAGACGAAGAAACUAAAGCCAACAUGUGAAGUAAGAACCUGUCAAGGGUCAUAUUAGGUCACAUCAGGUCAUAUCCUAACAUGUGUUGGCAUCCUUUCCCCCUGUGCUGUCUGAUAUGCCUGGGAGACGCCCUCCGUCCUGCUUCCCACUAGGGCUACACUGGUAUGUGAGUCCUUUGGGGGCAAAAUCACCCAUUUUGGGAAUUUUGGAAGCAGAACAAAAGUGGCAGUGUUCUGAUGGUUCUAGUUAAAGAUGGAGAGGGAUGUGGGUCUAUUGCAGACAUAAAGAACUCUCUUCUGAAUGGGAGGGGCAGCCCAAGACCCUGGAAUUACAAUGUGAUGGGACAGUUCAAGUCAAGUCUUUGUUUUGGCAGGUCAAACGGUGUAAACUUUGCUGGAAGGAACCUUACUCAGAGGGCCAAUCACCUGCUUCUCUAGAGUUCUCAAGCUCUCCUGUGAGCACCAGGUUGAGCUGCAGAAAGCCAGAACCAGCUCAGAAACUGAGAAAUGGACAUGAAGAUGCCCAGGUCUGCAGAUGGUUUCCAUUCUGAAAAGUGAUAGUCCCAAGGGGGACUGGCAUGCAGUCAUUCAUUCAACAAUUGUGCUCCUACUCUGUGAAGUAUUGGGGAUACAGUGCUGAGCACAGACAGACCUAGUCUCUGUCCUUUGCACCUUUCAGUGAAGGAUAGGAGGUAGACAUUGAUGCAACAAGCACCCGAGUAAAUGUAAGACCAUGCAGUGAUAAAGGCCGUGGAGGAAGGGCCCAUGCAGGGGCAGAAAACAGAGGAAGGGGCUGGUGGAGCAGCUCCUCUAGCUCAAGGCUGAGUGGUAUAAACUGUAGCUACUGCAUGAUCUGAACGUGUCUUAAGGAGGGUAUCCCCAAAGCGGGCUCAUUGGGAGUUACUGUGGAGCGCUAGUUUAUUGUAAUUGCCAUAUGUUUAUAAGUAAUGGAAUCCUAGAAUUAGAAGGAACUUCGGUCACCUUUUAAUUUAAUAUUUAUCUUUCUCAAUCCAGGAAACAUCUCUACAGCAUCCCUAACUGGGGGUUGAUCCAUUCAUUUCCAGACACAGAGAACAGAGUCACAUUCUGCUGUUUCCAUAUGUACCAUUUUAGUAAGACUUCUUGGGGCACAAGGCAGGAAGUUGGGGACAAUAUAUUUGUCUGCACCAAGGCAGCCUGAGAAGAGAGAAGUGAAUACUCCUGGGGUUAUUCUAUAUUAUUCACUUAAUAUUCUAAGUGAGUCCUCUAGGGGUACCUGAGACAUGGAGUAUGAAAGUACACAUUCACAAAAGUACCAGCUUUAAAACUAGAUUAUCUCUACUAUUCAAAAACACCAAGGAAAGGCCACACAAUGGAGACAAAGUGCAUCUGAGAUCUAGCAAAUUUCCCUGUUGGCCACAUACUGAUAAUGAUGUAUUAAAAUCAAUUCUAUACUGUGGGGUACUUAUUUGACAUUAAUAGGUACCAUGGUGGUUUAACAUAGUUGCUGCCCAGAGAAAACGCCGCACACUCACCUACACUAAAAUGAAGUCUGAGUCAGCUGCCUCCCCUCCGCCAUCCCUUCCAAAGCCAAUGGUUGAAAGUCACAGAAGUCCCUCUGCUGCCACCUAGUGACGACAAUGUGAAUACAACUACACAGCCUCCUGGGAAAGAAGUUUUGAACCACGUUUGCUUCUAAAGGAAGCCUGUAAUUACCUCUGAGUGCUCUAUUUUGGCUACAAUUUAAAAACAUAUAUAUUUUAAAACUCUAUAAACUCUUAUGCAUAUCCCUUUUUAAGAAUCUGACCUGUAAUGGAUGUAGCCUCACUUUCAAGAACCUAAAAGCUAUGCCCCCAAUUCAGGGAGUAGAACAGACAGGCUUAAGAACAGUGCCUAAAAAUGCCACUAAAUUUAUCUUUAAAAUGCCUGUGGUUCCUUAGCACUUGAAUUCCGUUAUGCCCCUGGGUAUAGUCACCUGGAUGUUAGGGGCUGUCAAAAUUCAGCCCUCAGUUGGUGAUCAGUAGGUUUUCCCUUUAAGUGGUUUCUGAAAGGAUUUUUUUUAAAAAUCUUGAAAUUCUCAUGUCUGGAUGAUGUUUCCAGUUUUGUGGAAGAAUAAAAGAAAAGGGACAUGAAAUUCUGGCUCCCUGGGGGCAGUGGCUGUGUCUUAUUAAUCUCUGUGCCCAUUGUACCAACACCGGUCAGUCACAGCAUGUACUCAACCAAUGCUGAUGAAUGCAGAGGGGCGAGGGGCUGGCACGCUCUUGACCCCUUAUAGGGGCUGCGUCGAUGGCCAGGGUUCAAUGGGAACUUUCUGGUACAGUCUUGCUCUGCCAAUCUUUCAAAUUAAGUGCAGCACAAUUGGAAGCCUCACAUUCUCAUAGACGGGUUGAGGAGGGCAUUAGGGGCAGAAAGGCUCACAUAAGGCCUGAGCGUGAGGUUUCCUGCCCAGCACUGCUGUGCCAUUGCAGCCCACCUUCUUCUCACCUUUCCUUCCACACCACGGCGCGGCAGGUGCAGAAACCGUGCUGGGAUUGAGGCCCUAGAGGCUGACUACAGGUCUUGGGGGCAAAACAUCUGGACACACAGCUGAAGAUGAGCCAAGUAUAUUAGUCAGGGUUCUCUAGAGAAACAGAACCAACAAGAUAGAGAGAUGCAGAGAGACAGAGGGACAGACAGACAGAUUUAAGUAACUGACCCAUAAAAUCUUGGAGGCUUGGCAAGUCCAAAAUCUGCAAGAUGGAAGUGGGCUGGCACAUUGGAGACUCAAGGAAGAGUUGCACGUUGAGUUCAAAGGCCGGCUGCUGGCAGAAUUCCUUUCUGCUCAGGUGAAGUCGGUCUCUGUUCUAUUAAGACCUUCAACUGAUUGGAUGAGGUCCACCCAUAUUAUGAAGGGUCAUUUGCUUUACUCAACAUCUACUCAUCUAAAUAUUAAUCUCAUUGAAAAAAAACCCCAGAAACAUCCAGAAUAGCAUUUGACCAAAUGUUUGGACAAUGCAGCCUAGCCACAUUAACACACAAAAUUAACUGUCACAGCAAGACACCAGGGAAGCAUUGGAAGAUGUUAGCGGCUGUCAUUGAAAUGGGUGCCGUCAGGUGGACGGCAGCCAUCCAUCGGGCAAGAGCGGGGCAGCUGGAAGGGCCCUCCCCUCCCGUUUGCUUUCUGCUCUUCACAGCUCACGGAUAGAGGAAUUUUCUCAGCACAUUUCCCAGGAGGAGUUUGGCACCACCAUUUCUUGAAAACAGAUGUCUGCAGGGAUGUGUGUGUGCCUGUGAAUAUGAAGUCCAGAGCCUGGGACUGAGAACAGCAAGGGGAACAGGUGGCCACAGGGGAGUUGCCAGAUUGCUGACUUAAGAUGUGCUCCCAGGGCUGCACUGGUGUCGGUCGUGAGAGCGAUCACGGUUUGUGCAACGUCUGAACUUUCUAUCAACUUAUGGUUUAAUCAAUUUGCUGUUUACUCCAGCUAUUUGCAACCUCUCCUCAGUUACUUGGUGUUCAGCAGUGUAAUAUAUCUUCAUGUGUGAAUAUAAAUAUACUAUUUAGUGGAAACUAAAAGGAAUUGUGGAGGAAGAAUUUUUUUGGAUAAUUUUAUGUUUUCAUAAUGUAAAAAUUAAAGAUAUUUGAAGAGUUGAGUAUGUCAGUUUUGGGGAUGCAAGAGAAUGACUUCGGGACUACCAUAAUAUUUAAAAUCAUCACUACUCUUUCUUUCCACCUAAGUCUCAUAGCAAAAGAGGAAAUUUACUUCAGUCUCUUUCUGUAGCAGAACAUUAUCGUGCUGUAUUCCUGUGUUCACUUAUCUGCGCUGGAUUGUGAGUCCUUACAGAGAGAAAUUGUUAUGUGCUAUGUUCCCAACACCUGCACAUUAUAGGUGGUCACUAAGUGCUUGAUGAAUAAAUGAAUGAGGGAAUAAUAUUGUUUAUUAUUUUUUGCUGUUAUUUAUAAUUGGGAGUGGGUAGGAUUUGGAUUAUGAAGACUCUGGGAAGCCUCAUAAGAACCUCAGACUCACUGGGCACGGUGGCUCACACCUGUAAUCCCAGCACUUUGGGAGGCCGAGGCAGGCGGAUCACGAGGUCGGGAGAUCGAGACCAUCCUGGCUAACACGGUGAAACCCGGUCUCCACUAAAAAUACAAAAAACUAGCCAGGUGUGGUGGCGGGCGCCUGUAGUCCCAGCUACUCCAGAGGCUGAGGCAGGAGAAUGGCCGUGAACCCAGGAGGCGGAGGUUGCAAUGAGCCGAGAUCGCACCACUGCACUCCAGCCUGGGCGACAGAGCAAGACUCCAUCUCAAAAAGAAAAACCUCAGACCAGACUCAACGUGUCCAAAAAAGAGCUCACCUUGUACCCCUAGAUCCUGAAGCGGCUUCCAGUAGCUCAACCUCCUCCCAUCCAGUUCCAUCUCUGCCAGGGAUCUUUUAAAAAUGCAAAUCUCAUUAUGUCUCUUUCCUGCCUCAAACCUCCCAGUGGUUCUCCAGUCUGUCAGGAGAGGGUAUAGACUGUGGCCUGGCCCGGGAAGUUCUUUGAGGUCAACCCCUGCCUACUCAUCUUGCUAACUCUUAUGGCUCUCUGACACUAGGCUUUUGCUCCAAUCAUAUAAGCAACUGUAUUUCCAUAAAAUUGCAAUGUUCUUCCCUACCUCCUCACUUAACUAAUUUUCACUUUACUGAUCAUUUCUUAUUUUACUAUCAGCGUCUCUUUCUCCUUAUUCUUCAGGGAACAUUUCUCUCCACCAUCCUGUGCCACACUGUGGGGGUGUCAGUAACACCCUCUGUCCUCUCCUGGCCAAAGGAAAGGGGUGUCAUUCAGCCCAGGCCCCUGGAUCCUCAUCUUGGGAUUUGGAAAUGUGACCGAAGUGACAUAAAAAAAAGACAUGAAGUGCGAGGAGCUCAUUCAGUCAGCUCUGCAGCUCCAGCUGGGUUACCUGUGAGUCCUUGCUAGCCAGAUCCCUUGAUUUGCCGUGACUCCUGCCUUUGCCAAGUCUGUCUUCAUAGAUUCUUUCAAAUGUGGUUCCAUCUUGCCUGAGUUCGUCAGAGCCAGAUUCUGUGCUGUAAUAAAAAACCCCAAAUCAACUCACCUCUCACCCUCCACAAUGCAGCUUCUGGAAGAUUCCAGAUGCCCCAGCCUGACUGAGAAUUCUCUCUCCUCUGCUCUCAAAGUCCCUUUGGGUGCUUCUACCAAAGCACUGACAGCGUGAUUCUGAUUUGAUCGCUGGUGUCUGAGAGCUGUGAACGUCUUGAUGGUUUUGGCGCCCAGCACCAUUCCUGCCUCAUAAUUGGCACGUGAUAAAGGCUUGUCGCAUUCCCUCAUUCAAAAUAAACAUAGAAGACAAUCCAGAGAUUGCAGCUUCACAGAAAUCACAGAAGGAAAUUUAUAUUUAUAGAGACGGCAUAUAAAAUUUUAAAACAAUUUUAAUGAAAAUCUUGAAAAUAGACAUUCUCUUCUUUAAACAACAUAAACUGAACAAACUCAGUCUGUUUUGGUGCCUCUGUGAGUACCCUCGGUUGCUCUGGGCUGCUGUGCGAUGCUGACCGGGACUUCCUCAGAGGCCUCAUCUUCUGCAUCCAGUGGACUUGCAAGCCACUUUACACUUCCUGGGUGAUAAGGUUUGGAUUUGUGUCCCCGCCCAAAUCUCACGUGGAAUGUCAUUCCUAAUGUUGGAAGAGGGGCCUGGUGGGAGGUGAUUGGAUCAUGGGGGCAGAAUUCCCUCUUGCAGUUCUCUUGGUAGUGAGUUCUCACAAGAUCUGGUUGUUUAAAAGUAUGUAGCACCUCCUGCUUUCGCUGUCUUCCUCCUGCUCCCGCCAUGUAAGACGUGGCCUCCUUUCCCUUCGCCUUCCGCCAUGAUUGAAAGUCUUCAGAGGCCUCCCCAGCCAUGCUUCAUGUACAGCCUGUGGAACUGUGAGCCAAUUAAACCUCUUUUCUUCAUAAAUCACCCAGGCUCGGGUAUGUCUUUACAGCAAUGUGAGAACGGACUCAUACUGUGGGUCUGUAGCCUCUUUCCAUGGUAUUAUCUCAUAUUUUUCAAUGUUUCUUUGAUGCAUGUUUUAAGAAAUGUUAAUUGAAAGCAUGUCAUGGGACAGGCACUGGAUUACGUCUUAGAAAUGCCAAGAUGCACAGCCACAGUUGCUUUCUCCAGGACGGCACAGGUGAGGAGGGGGAUCAAAAAUAAAGGCUAGAGAUAGGUGCCUGUGCUGGGUGCUUGGGGCAUAUAGGUAGGGUACCUGAUCCACUGGGGUCAGAGAAAGUUUUCUGGAGGUGUUACCUGAGAAGAGCCUUGGGGGAAAUGGGCAUUAUCCAGGUGAAGAAGGAUUUUCUGAAGGUUCUGGACAGCUGUGUUACGAGACACCCAGCUUCUCUGCUUCUCCUGGGAACACGCGUUGUGCUUCUACUCCAUGGCGCUCCUGGGAGCUGCCGCAUCCAUGGCAUGCUCUCCCCUGCCCCCACAGCUAACUGGUGUUAUGGGUGGGCUAAGUGGCCAAAAGUGAGCGUUCAGGUUGGCACACUGCCACACUGAGCCUGGAGAAUCUUCCCCCAGAAUGCUUUGAAUUAUUAGUCAAACAGAGAGUUUCUUUCUGGCAGUAAGAGCAAUAAAAUGUGAGAUUCACGAGUUGGCCUUCAUGUUUCUCGCCUUUGGAGAAAGCUGUCCCACAGAGAGGGAGAGUGCAGGCCUCUGAAGAGAGUCACAGAUAGAGAUGAGGAGUCCUGGGGGGAUCUAGACCCUGACUCCAGUUAUCCCUGAGACCCAAACACAUCCCCAUUUUUCUCACAACUUGCCAGUCUACCCUUCCCUGGAUCCCACAAUGCAUUCUAAUACCUUCCAAUAAUUUUUUUUUCUUUUUUGAGAGAAAGUCUCAUCCUGUUGCCCAGGCUGGAGUACAGUGGCGCAAUCUUGGCUCACUGCAACCUCCACCUGCUAGGUUGAAAUGUUUCUUGUGCCUUAGCCUCCCGAGUAGUUGGGAUUACAGGCAUGCGCCACCACACCUGGCUAAUUUUUGUAAUUUUAGUAGAGACGGGGUUUCAUCAGGUUGUCCAGGCACAUCUCAAACUCCUGGCACCAGUCUCCCAAAGUGCUGGGAUUACAGGUGUGAGCUACCACACCCGGCAAACUCAUAAUUAUUUAAUAAAGAAUUUAUAGUAAAUAACUAAAUUCCUAAGAAAUAGCUUAAGCUAUUCUUUGUGGGGUUUCUGUCAUCCAUAACCAAAAAAAAUUUAGAUAAAUGUAGUGUCCUCAUCUCUGGGGCAUCAAUUGCCACGAGUCAGUAAGUGCUGGAGGACAAGCUCCCUUGCUUAGAAAACUAGGCUGCAUUACAGAGGAAUUGUUUUAAGGAACAAUGCUUGAGGUUUCUAAGCAGAUGAAUUUAGAAAUCUGAACUAUGAGAGCAUAUUGAGAAUAUUAAGAAUAUUGGAGGCAGUAAUCAUGCAGGCUAGAUCACUUAAAGACCACCAGAGGAUGGGCUAUUAGAUGCUGGGUCAGACGCCUGUGCCUUUCCUUCAGUCCACGCACUGGCCACCCAGUAGGAACCUCCUUCUCUGCCCUUCCACCUUCUUGAGCCCUGUCACCUCUGUUCUCAGCCUGCCCUUGGCCUUGGAUUAGUACGUCGGCCUCCUUCAGAUCAGAGCUGUCUGCUAUUAACUCAGUUCUUAGCGUCGACCUAUUUCCUGGCAUAGCCGUUAAUGACCUGCUUACACUUUUCCUAGUACAGCCAUCCCUUGGUAUCCAUUGGGGAUUGGUUCCAGGACCACCUCAUAGAUACCAAAAUCUGUGGAUGCUCAAGUCUCUGAUAAAAAAUGGCAUAGUAUUUGCAUAUAACCCAUGUAAUUCUCCCACGUAUUUAAAAUCCUUUCUAGCUUAUUUGUAAUACUGAAUACAAUCCCUACACAUUACUUCAUUCAUGUGGAUUCAAUGGAGUACUCGGCAUGCAGCAAAUUCAAGUUUUGCUUUUUGGUACUUUGUGAAAACAUUUUUUUUCUGCAUAUUUUCUAACUGUGUUUGGUUGAAUCUAUGGUUGUGGAACCUACAGAGAGCCAACUGUAUAUGACUACUCUCUGAAGUGUGUUUUACCUUUUUGUGUCCAAGCUGAAAACUUGAAGGGCCCCCUGAGCCACAAGAGGGCUCAAUCAAGCGAAGGAGUUACUCAAAGACCAGCCAGAUGGCACUCAUUGGCUGGAAAGCCUGUAAUGAUUUAAAGGAAUUCUUCUUGGCUUUUAGGAUUUAAAAAAAUUCUUCUUGACUUUUAGUAUUUG
rnacentral:lncRNA from 1 species